rnacentral:tRNA from 1 species
GCUUCCGUGGCGCAAUUGGAAGACGCACUACCUUGAGGUGGUAGGUGUUGAGGGUUCGAGUCCCUUCGGAAGUA